AAGCGCUCGUGACCAGACUUGCGCCGGGGCGAUCAGCUGGCGUUCUCGCCAGUGCACUCGCCCCGGCUCAGGCCAGCGUCGGUUCGUGCGGGGGGAUAAAGGCGUUGGGAAUGUGGCUCCUUCGGGAGUGUUAUAACCCAGCGCGUCAUGCUCCCGCGCGGACCGAGGUUCGCGCUCUGCAAGGACGCUGGCGUAAUGGUUACUAGCGA
rnacentral:rRNA from 1 species